rnacentral:lncRNA from 1 species
CGGUUGGCUGCAUUGGAGUAUGAUGCGGCGCUUUUCGCUAGGGUUUUAAGGUAGAGAGUGGUGAUUUCUGUUAGGGCUUUGAAAGCUGAAAUUUCUGUGGAUUUGAAACCAACCGAUCGGCAGAUUUGUGCGACUGCAAGUUCGGUAAGUUUGAAUUCGAAAUCUUUUGGUUGUUCUGUGAUUUGAGACUGGUUUUCUGCUUUCUUCUUUUUUGAUUUCGGUUUCAUGGCUUUGAUUGUAGAGGUAAAAGAUGAUGAUGCUGGCUAUGGAGAUUGCUCUAAAACCCUAGCUAUGGCUGCUUAAUCCGCUGCUGGGCUUUUAAUGGUACCUAUUUUAAUUUUGCAGUUCAAUGUGGAGUUUUUUGGAAUUUUAACAUAAUUGCCUCGUAA